rnacentral:rRNA from 1 species
CUACGGGUGGCUGCAGUGGGGAAUCUUGGACAAUGGGCGCAAGCCUGAUCCAGCAAUGCCGCGUGGGUGAAGAAGGCCUUCGGGUUGUAAAGCCCUUUUGUCAGGGAGCAAAUCCUUGUAGCUAAUAUCUACUGGGGAUGAGAGUACCUGAAGAAUAAGGACCGGCUAACUACGUGCCAGCAGCCGCGGUAAUACGUAGGGUCCAAGCGUUAAUCGGAAUUACUGGGCGUAAAGCGUGCGCAGGUGGCUUGUUAAGACCGAUGUGAAAUCCCCGGGCUCAACCUGGGAACUGCAUUGGUGACUGGCUCGCUAGAGUACGGCAGAGGGGGGUGGAAUUCCACGUGUAGCAGUGAAAUGCGUAGAGAUGUGGAGGAACACCGAUGGCGAAGGCAACCCCCUGGGCUGAUACUGACACUCAUGCACGAAAGCGUGGGGAGCAAACAGGAUUAGAUACCCUAGUAGUC